GGGCGUAAAGGGCGCGUAGGCGGAUUAUCAAGUCUCUUGUGAAAUCCAACGGCUUAACCGUUGAACUGCUUGGGAAACUGGUAAUCUAGAGUGGGGGAGAGGCAGAUGGAAUUGGUGGUGUAGGGGUAAAAUCCGUAGAUAUCACCAAGAAUACCCAUUGCGAAGGCGAUCUGCUGGAACUUAACUGACGCUAAGGCGCGAAAGCGUGGGGAGCAAACAGGAUUAGAUACCCUGGUAGUCCACGCCCUAAACGAUGUAUGCUAGUUGUUGGGGUGCUAGUCAUCUCAGUAAUGCAGCUAACGCAUUAAGCAUACCGCCUGGGGAGUACGGUCGCAAGAUUAAAACUCAAAGGAAUAGACGGGGACCCGCACAAGCGGUGGAGCAUGUGGUUUAAUUCGAAGAUACGCGAAGAACCUUACCUGGGCUUGAUAUCCUAAGAACCUUAUAGAGAUAUGAGGGUGCUAGCUUGCUAGAACUUAGAGACAGGUGCUGCACGGCUGUCGUCAGCUCGUGUCGUGAGAUGUUGGGUUAAGUCCCGCAACGAGCGCAACCCACGUAUUUAGUUGCUAACACUUCGGGUGAGCACUCUAAAUAGACUGCCUUCGUAAGGAGGAGGAAGGUGUGGACGACGUCAAGUCAUCAUGGCCCUUAUGCCCAGGGCGACACACGUGCUACAAUGGCAUAUACAAUGAGACGCAAUACCGCGAGGUGGAGCAAAUCUAUAAAAUAUGUCCCAGUUCGGAUUGUUCUCUGCAACUCGAGAGCAUGAAGCCGGAAUCGCUAGUAAUCGUAGAUCAGCCAUGCUACGGUGAAUACGUUCCCGGGUCUUG
rnacentral:rRNA from 1 species